GGCAGUGGUGGCUUAGUGGUUGAGGCUUUGGGUUGCUGAUUGGACGGUCGGGGGUUCAAGCCCCAGCACUGCCA